rnacentral:rRNA from 1 species
UACGGGGGGGGCAAGCGUUGUUCGGAAUUACUGGGCGUAAAGGGCUCGUAGGCGGCCAACUAAGUCGGAUGUGAAAUCCCCAGGCUUAACCUGGGAACUGCAUCCGAUACUGGAUGGCUUGAAUUCGGGAGAGGGAUGCAGAAUUCCAGGUGUAGCGGUGAAAUGCGUAGAUAUCUGGAGGAAUACCGGUGGCGAAGGCGGCAUCCUGGACCGACAUUGACGCUGAUGAGCGAAAAGCUAGGGGGAGCAA